rnacentral:rRNA from 1 species
UCCUGGCUCAGGAUAAACGCUGGCGGCGCACAUAAGACAUGCAAGUCGAACGGACUUAAUCUUAAUAUUUAUAUUGAGAAGCGGUUAGUGGCGGACUGGUGAGUAACGCGUAAGCAAUCUGCCUAUUAGAGGGGAAUAACAGUGAGAAAUCAUUGCUAAUACCGCAUAUGCCAUAAGAACCACAUGGUUCUAGUGGGAAAGGAGUAAUCCGCUAAUAGAUGAGCUUGCGUCUGAUUAGCCAGUUGGUGUGGUAAUGGCACACCAAGGCAACGAUCAGUAGCCGGACUGAGAGGUUGAACGGCCACAUUGGGACUGAGAUACGGCCCAGACUCCUACGGGAGGCAGCAGUCGGGAAUAUUGCGCAAUGGAGGAAACUCUGACGCAGUGACGCCGCGUAUAGGAAGAAGGUUUUCGGAUUGUAAACUAUUGUCGUUAGGGAAGAUAAAAGACAGUACCUAAGGAGGAAGCUCCGGCUAACUACGUGCCAGCAGCCGCGGUAAUACGUAGGGAGCAAGCGUUAUCCGGAUUUAUUGG